CAAUUCCUGAAAUGUUCGAGGUACUCUGAUAUUUUGAACCUACAACAUUCAUAAGGGAGUUCGAAGUUCUUGAGCGUAUGUCAUGCCUCUUUAAGUGGAAGACAGAGGUUUGAGACAGGACACCCACCUAGAUCUUUCUAGGCGUCAAAAUUCAGAGAACGGCAUUUCGGGAAUAAA
rnacentral:other from 1 species